rnacentral:rRNA from 1 species
AUUGAACGCUGGCGGCAGGCCUAACACAUGCAAGUCGAACGAGUGGCGGACGGGUGAGUAAUGUCUGGGCACCUGCCUGAUGGAGGGGGAUCACUACUGGAAACGGUAGCUAAUACCGCAUACCAUACUAUGUUCCCAGAUUGGAUUAGCUAGUUGGUGGGGUAACGGCUCACCAAGUCUACGAUGCCUAGCUGGUCUGAGAGGGUGACCAGCCAAACUGGAACGGAGACACGGUCCAGACUCCUACGGGAGUCAGCAGUGGGGAAUAUUGCACAAUGGGCGCAAGCCUGAUGCAGCCAGGCCGCGUGUAUGAAGAAGGCCUUCGGUUUGUAAAGUACUUUCAGCGGGGAGGCGUUACCCGCAGAGGAAGCACCGGCUAACUCCGUGCCAGCCGCCGCGGUAAUUC